GCCUCAGUAACGGCGAGUGAAGCGGCAAUAGCUCAAAUUUGAAAUCUGCUCUUUGAGCCGAAUUGUAAUUUGUAGAGGAUGCUUCGGCUUACGUUUCGGUCUAAGUUCCUUGGAACAGGACGUCAUAGAGGGUGAGAAUCCCGUCUGUGGCCGAGACUUCCGCCAUGUGAAGCUCCUUCGACGAGUCGAGUUGUUUGGGAAUGCAGCUCUAAAUGGGAGGUAUAUUUCUUCUAAAGCUAAAUACCGGCCAGAGACCGAUAGCGCACAAGUAGAGUGAUCGAAAGAUGAAAAGCACUUUGGAAAGAGAGUUAAAAAGUACGUGAAAUUGUUGAAAGGGAAGCGUUUGCGACCAGACUUGCCUGCGGAUGCUCAAUCGGUCCUUCGGCCGAUGCACUCUUCCGCAGUCAGGCCAGCAUCAGUUCGAGUAGCCAGAUAAAGGCAUUGGGAAUGUGGCUCUCUUCGGGGAGUGUUAUAGCCCUUUGUGCAAUAUGGUUCAUUUGGACUGAGGCCCGCGCUUCGGCUAGGAUGCUGGCGUAAUGGUCGUAAGCGGCCCGUCUUGAAACACGGACCAAGGAGUCUAACAUCUAUGCGAGUGUUUGGGUGUCAAACCCGUGCGCGAAAUGAAAGUGAACGGAGGUGGGAACCUUUGGGUGCACCAUCGACCGAUCCUGAUGUCUUCGGAUGGAUUUGAGUAAGAGCAUAGCUGUUGGGACCCGAAAGAUGGUGAACUAUGCCUGAAUAGGGUGAAGCCAGAGGAAACUCUGGUGGAGGCUCGCAGCGGUUCUGACGUGCAAAUCGAUCGUCAAAUUUGGGUAUAGGGGCGAAAGACUAAUCGAAC
rnacentral:rRNA from 1 species